CAACACCACCUUAAAUAUCAAAUUAAAAGAAUGAUUUGUUCAGUUAUUUGCAGGAGAAGAAUUAUUAUUAUGAAAGAAACUUUAUUUUUACUUCAUUAUAUUUAGUGUAAAGAUAAUCCAAACUACCAUGAUCUUUAUAUAUCAUUGUUAUUGUGGCCGGUGGCCUGUAGCCUGUGAGGUUUAUUAAUUUAUUUAUUCAAAAUCAUUUUGAUUAUUAAUUCGUGUAAUUUUUUUGUUACAAAUCAAUUCCAAACACAAUGCUAGCUAGCAAGAACUAGCAAUAGUUAUAUUUUUUUGACUAGUUUCAAAUGUGAUAUGGAAAUCAGAUCUCAUUUCGAUAUCGUGAAAUAUUUUAUCUCGGUUGUUCGAGAUGUGAUAGUGUGAUACUGUUCUGACCUUGAAAUACUUGUCUGCAAAAAAUAAAAAAUGUAGGAUUUUUUAUGAAUGCUAACUUGUAUAUCUAUUCAUAAUUUGAAUACGUCUGAAAAAUAUCGGGAUAAAAAAUCUGAAUCCUUCGUAAUAAUAUAUAGAUAGGAAAAUUCAGAUAACUUUUUAUAAAAAAACCUAAAAAAUUCUAAAAUAAAAUUUUAAUAGUAUAAAAUCACAUUUAAUAAAGUUAAUUAAUAGUGAAUUAAUCAUUUAAAAUCUUAAAUAAUAAUAUAAGUUAAUUAAAUUUAUAAAUAACAAUUAUUAAUAAUAUGAUACGACCAUCAUCGUACCAGAGCUGUUAUUAGACGACGUCGCCAACAUUAUCGACGCGCCACUGGAAGAAGACCCUACAACAGAAAACGACGCUGAUCUGGAAGAUGGCGCGGAAUCAACAAGAAACUCAAAUGGGGAAACGGCUAGUGAACAAGAUCCGAUUCGGAGUAAACGGAUAUCCGUCCGCCCAAAUCGAUUUAGGGAUUUCAAGACCCAUUUCAUGGAUUCAGAUGACUCGGCGGAAGACUGAGAAGAAAGCAGUCACCUACGUUAAAUAAAUUGGUUUUAAUUAGCAUUAAUAAUUAAUUAGUCCUGUAGCUCAUAUAAGAGCAAGAUAAAAAAAAACUCUUGGUUAUCUUAUCAAUAAAAAUUUUACCUCAGAGAUUUUUCAACAGAAAUCCCAUCUCCACCCCCAACGCAAAGUUGAGCACGACUCCGCUCCUCCACCGUCGCUCCGAUCGUCCUCCAAUACGCAGGUCAUCUCCAAGUUCCGGAAUUCCAACCAUAUCAAGCCCUCUCUCGUUUAGACUUAACAGUCGAUAAAUGUUAAAACUAAGCCUUGAGAUAAGAGGUUUAUCCUCGUUGUGAUCGACUCUUGGCACCCGAGAUUUCAGAUCAUCGGACCGGAGUCUCACCUUCUCUAAGGCGAAUUUGCUCUGAUUACCUCUAAUUAAAUUUAGUGGUAUCAUAAUAUUACUAAGUAGUAUUAUAUAAUUAUUACGAUAUUCGGAUAUCCUAUCCGAAGUUAUCAACCGAAUUCGGAUUUUAAACGAAUCCGUUCAUAUCCGAAUUCGGAGUAAACGUUCAGAUAAUUUUCGAAUGUUAUUUUUGGUAUUU
rnacentral:lncRNA from 1 species